rnacentral:sRNA from 1 species
UUCGUUUCGCUGUCGGCAGUCCGUGCCGCC